AACGAACGCUGGCGGCAUGCCUAACACAUGCAAGUCGAACGAGACCUUCGGGUCUAGUUGCGCACGGGUGCGUAACGCGUGGGAACCUGCCCUUAGGUUCGGAAUAACUCCCCGAAAGGGGUGCUAAUACCGGAUAAUGUCUUCGGACCAAAGAUUUAUCGCCUUUGGAUGGGCCCGCGUUGGAUUAGCUAGUUGGUAGGGUAAAAGCCUACCAAGGCUACGAUCCAUAGCUGGUCUGAGAGGAUGAUCAGCGACACUGGGACUGGGACACGGCCCAGACUCUUACGGAAGGCAGGAGUGGGGAAUAUUGGACAAUGGGCGAAAGCCUGAUGCAGCAAUGCCGCGUGAGUGAUGAAGGCCUGAGGGUUGUAAAGCUGUUUUACACGCGAUGAUAAUGACGGUACCGGGAGAAUAAGCUCCGGCUAACUCCGUG
rnacentral:rRNA from 1 species